rnacentral:tRNA from 1 species
GUGGCUGUAGCUUAGCGGCAAAGCACCGCUCUGUGGCAGCGGGGAUCAUGGGUUCGAAUCCCAUCAGCCACC